AACGCGAAGAACCUUACCAGGGCUUGACAUGCGCGCAAAACUCUCUGAAAGGGGAGGUCCGCAAGGGUGCGCGCACAGGUGCUGCAUGGCUGUCGUCAGCUCGUGCCGUGAGGUGUUGGGUUAAGUCCCGCAACGAGCGCAACCCUCGCCUUUAGUUGCCAUCAUUAAGUUGGGCACUCUAGAGGGACCGCCGGCGACAAGCCGGAGGAAGGUGGGGAUGACGUCAAGUCCUCAUGGCCCUUACACCCUGGGCUACACACGUGCUACAAUGGCGGUGACAAUGGGCAGCUAACCCGCGAGGGCAAGCUAAUCCCAAAAAACCGUCCCAGUUCAGAUUGCACUCUGCAACUCGGGUGCAUGAAGGUGGAAUCGCUAGUAAUCGCAGAACAGCAGGCUGCGGUGAAUACGUUCCCGGGCCUUGUACACACCGGAGUGC
rnacentral:rRNA from 1 species